rnacentral:rRNA from 1 species
UUAUUGGGCGUAAAGGGCGUCUAGGUGGAUUAACAAGUCCUGUGUGAAAUCUCUUGGCUCAACCAAGAAAGGUCACAGGAAACUAUUAAUCUAGAGGUCAUGAGAGGUAAGUGGAAUUCACAGAGUAGUGGUGAAAUGCGUAGAUACUGUGAGGAACACCAGAGGCGAAAGCGACUUACUAGCAUGAUUCUGACACUAAAGCGCGAAAGUGUGGGUAGCAAACCGGAUUAGAUACCCGGGUAGUCCACACCAUAAACGAUGGAUACUAGUUAUGGGAGGCUUAGACCCCUCUGUAACGAAGCUAACGCAUUAAGUAUCCCGCCUGGGGAGUACGGCCGCAAGGUUAAAACUCAAAGAAAUUGACGGGGGCCCGCACAAGCAGCGGAGCGUGUGGUUUAAUUCGAUGAUAAGCGAAGAACCUUACCAAGGCUUGAAAUAUAUCUGACAGCUAGUGAAAGCUAGUCUCCUUCGGGCAGAUAUACAGAUGUUGCAUGGCUGUCGUCAGCUCGUGCCGUGAGGUGUUGGGUUAAGUCCCGCAACGAGCGCAACCCUCGUCGUUAGUUACUAUGUCUAGCGAGACUGCCUCUAAAAAAGAGGAGGAAGGUGGGGAUGACGUCAAGUCAGCAUGGCUCUUACGCCUUGGGCUACACACACGCUACAAUGGAUAGUACAAAGGGCUGCAAAGGAGCGAUCCGGAGCUAAUCCCAUAAAGCUAUCCCCAGUUGGAAUUACAGGCUGCAACUCGCCUGUAUGAACGCGGAGUUGCUAGUAAACGCAGGUCAGCACACUGCGUUGAAUACGUUCCCGGGCCUUGUACACACCGCCCGUCAAGUCAUGGAAGUAGAAAACACCUGAAGUCGUUGGGCUAACCCUUUGGGAAGCAGACGCCUAAGGUGGGUUUUAUGACUGGGACUAAGUCGUA